GGGGCCACGCCCCGACCUGUGACCUGGGGGAUCACAAUUGAUGAUGUCACAGCCAGACUCCACAGUCCUGGGGGUGGGGCGCCCGGGGCUGCUCAGACCUGCCCUGCCCAGCCGGGGUGUCAGUUGGGCCAGCCUCUGCUGCCACCUGAGAAAUCUGAUGGAGGCCCGGGCUGUAGCUGCUGCCAAGCUGCUUGGAAGUCACCCAGGUGGGGAUGCUGGCAAGGCCCUUGGGACAGUAGAAAGGCCGCUCUGGUGAGUUUGUCUGGGCCGGGCGGGCUGUGUGGGCAGAGCCGGACCACCCCUUGCCCCGGGAGGGAGGCCCCUCUCCCAUCUCUGGGGGGCCUUGGCCUCUCCCCUUCCCCGGGGCCCAGGCUCUCUGCGGUGAGGGGGGGGUCUGGCCGCUGGGACCCCGAGAGCCCAGGGGCAGAAACGGCCCGAGUGUCCCCCAGAUGCCCUGGCGGGGGCCUCUGCUCUUUGCCCCCAGGAGGCCACCAGUGCGGAUUGUGCAGCAAGAUCCCCCGUGGCAGCUCCAGAGGAGCGUCAGCACAGAUCUCCGCAGAGACCAACUGCCGAUCUCAUCCCCAGGUACCCGGAGGGGGCAGGCGGGCCCCCCUCCCAG
rnacentral:lncRNA from 1 species